rnacentral:rRNA from 1 species
CAGCGCCACGAGUGGUAACCACGUUUAUUGGGCCUAAAGCGUCCGUAGCCGGUUUGAUAAAUCUUUUGUGAAAUUGUACAGCUUAACUGUACAGCGUGCAAGAGACACUGUCAAACUUGAGACCGGGAGGAGUCAGAAGUAUUCCAGAGGGAGCGGUAAAAUGUUAUAAUCUCUGGAGGACUACCUGUGGCGAAGGCGUCUGACCAGAACGGAUCUGACGGUGAGGGACGAAAGCCAGGGGAGCGAACCGGAUUAGAGACCCGAGUAGUCC